AGAACCUCCCUUCCCGCGUCUCCAACUCCGGCCCCUUCCCCCGCAGCCCGAGAAAAGUUCCGCCUCCAUGGAUCCGGGCGGAAAUGAGGUACCACGCGCCUCUCUUCCGUUGAGCAGCCGCUCCUGCGUCACCGCUCGCCAGCCCACCGUCUUGCGGCGGGGUACCCAAGCAGCUCGUAAUCAAGUUUAUCAAUAACGACACCUUCAAUGGCAGCUAUGUUAAAAACCCUUUUAACUUUAAACAUGUAUGUGGAUGGUGAACAGGUGCCAGCGAAACCCCUAUGACCUGAUUUUGAGAAUGGAAACUGCAUGAGGGAGUACAUGCAGCUCAUGCAGGUGAUUGGGAAAUAUGUAAAAGACAGAUCACUCUUGACUGACCAUUGUGAAUUUGCCCAGAGUUUCACGCUGUAUGCCUUCAAUCUGACUCCAGACUAGGAGUGCGCUAAUCAUUCUCUGAUUAAAACUGGAAACCUGAAAACGGAGAUUCGGUUUGCAAUGGUGCUGCUCUCUACGGUUAACAUGAUUGUCUAUGGGGUUUUUGAUAAUGUUCUUGAAGUGAACCAUAGAAGAAACAUCCUGUUUGACUAUAUGUGAUUAUGAACACCAUGCAGCUAAGGUGUAUUUUAUCAAAAGAUGCUUCUUUAAAUUUUAGAUGUUUUUCCUAGUGACUUGCUUCAAAAGGGGUCUGUGUCCAGAAGACCUUUGGGGCUUAUUGUUAACACGCACCCCCAUGACUUACCCAGGAAACAGUGGCUGGCUGGCCCUCUAUUUACCAAAGCAGGGGCCGGGUGAGUUCUUUGACUGCUAUGGAUUUCCACCAGACAGUAACUUUUUUCCUAAAUCUAUUAUGACUUUUUAAAAUCGUAACUCUAAUAAUGUUAUCAUGUGGUUAUCAUUGUAUAUACAACUCUACCUCGAUAUAACGUGACCUGAUAUAACACGAAUUCGGAUAUAAGGCAGUAAAGCAGUGCUCGGGGGGGGGGCAGGGCCGCACUCUCCUGUGGAUCAAAGCAAGUUUGAUAUAACACGGUUUCACCUAUAACGUGGUAAGAUUUUUUUGGCUCUCAAGGACAGCGUUAUAUCGAGGUAGAGGUGUAUUUUUUUUUAAGCAACAUAAUAGGGUUUUAUCUUUUGAUCGCAUUUUAAAGUUGUAUACCAAUGAAUUACCAGAAAAUUACUGGAUGGUGGUGCAGUUUGUAAAAGAGAAAAGGUCAGGUGUGACCAGACUUGUUCCAAACAUGUUUCAGCAUAUCCAGACGUGUUUGUCUUGUUGUGAGUUUAAAGAAGCACAUCAAUAAAGCAUAUGUUGAUUUUU